GUGAAACUUGGAUUAAAGGUACCUUAAUGCCAUGAAGCCACUUUAUAUAUUCUUCUUGAGCAUCUUGGUAUCUCUCCUGUUUACUCCAGGUUGAGAUUGACUUGCUGUUUUUUGCUGUGCAGGACUGACACAAUAUAUUGAGAGUGAAUCAGAGUGUACAGCGGCUGGAGGUACAUGCAAGAAGCCAUGCACUUCUUUAGACUAUGCUGGCCACUGUACAGAUUACCAAGAUUGCUGUAUAACUGACAGAUGGAAACUACCUGGAAGAAAUGGACAAUGAGCUAUCCUCAGAGGAGCUUGCAGAAGGAAGAGAUCCACCACUGAGCACUGCACAGGCUGCUCUUCACCACUGCUGUUGCUAAGUAACUGACUCUGUUGCUACAGAGGCUGCUGCCCUCUGACCUGAGAUCAAAAGAAAUUAGUUAUGCGCUGAACUUUCUGUUUUGUUUUGUUCAGAAUGACUCUUUUUAAGGUAAGGCAAUUGUUUGUCUUUGUGUGAGCUUAUUCCUUACCCUAAUGGAAGCAAGAGCCUUUUUGUCUGCACCCCCAUAAGAAGUGGAGCAUGCCAUUCUGCUGGGCAGACCUGGGCCAGAUACCUUGCAUAGGCAAGGAUAUAUAAGGCUGAAAAUGAUAUCUGCUGAGUUUGGAGCUGGGGCUGAGUUGGCUAAAAUGCUUGCAGCUACCAGAGGCUGCCUGCUUGCACUAACAGGAGAGAAAUGUUUAAUGUUAUGCAGAUCAACCAUCAAUAAAGUCUGGUUUCACCUUUU